AAACAGUUUAAUGACAAACCAUAUGAUGCUUUUAUUUGUUCAUGACAUUCCACAUGCCUGCAAAUACUCACAUCAUCAGGGGGAUCCAGGGCCAUGGUCAGGCUUUCCUCUGCUCUUCUUGUUGUGCUUGCUGUUGUUACCGGCUAAAAUAAACAGUUAAGUAAUCAAAUGUUCUGUAGUAUACAACACAUUAUUUAUUCCUAAACUUUAGGAAAAGUGACAUUAAAUCACCUAUCUAAAUAUUGAUUUAUCCAUCUUUAACACCUUGAAUUCUUGUGGCCAAUGAUGCACAUACCCUUUGAAGAUGAGCAGGGAAGUUGAAGAUUCUUGGCACUGUAGCAGCUUUAAGUCUGACAGUCUGCCCUGUCCUGUCAAAAUCUUCUUUUACAAAGUGUUGACUGCAGAGCAGUGACCUGUCAUUUACCGUGAAACCAUUUUUCAAAACGAAAAGCUGCGAUUUCAACAUUUAGCCUGAAUCAUAGCCACGUUAAUCAGGUUUGUAAUAAACUAAACCAUUUGUAAAUCAAUCAAGAAUUGAGCGAGUUACGAGUGUUAAAGUGAGGAAAUCAUCCACCUUACCAUUGACUACAGUACAACACGCCAGAGCAGUCCCCUGUCCUAAGAUGGCUGCCAAGUGACGACGCUGCCGACUCCUCCUUGAGACAUCGAGGCUGAAUCCCAAACCGCCCCUUACACACUCUCCCUCCACUACCGAGUGUCACUCCAAAAGAAGUCACACUCGCAGCUGUGGAGGGCACCUAUUAUUGAAGGGGGAGGGUAUGAGUAUGAUCGUCAGGAAUGGGAUGCCGUGUCGCCUCACCGGAAAACGGAAGACGUCAUCGCCAUGGUAACACAAAGACGCCUACUGUGCAUGGCUGUAACGCAGUGGCACAGGUUGCAACUAACAAGGAUCGCUGCUGCUUCCAGAAGACGAAAGCGUCCCACUUUUUUCACUCACAUUUUUUCCAAUCCUAUUAUCUGGCAUUUCAGAUCCAACAAAUGAAUAAAUGAAUUCUGUCAGUUGUGUUCAAAUUUUAAGGUGUCAGGGGGUGCACAAUUAAAUCAAACGUCAGCAGAGAAGAUUUGUUUCUUUUGUUUUAUCUUUUUUCACCACUCUUUUUGUGAUGUUCUGUCAGUGUGAAAAAGGUGUGGGAGAAAUAAAGGACGCAUGUGGAACUCACAUCAAUAUGUUUGUUUCCUCCUCCAUUGCACUUCCUGAAAAAGUUGUCCAGAGUGAGCAUCGAUGCACACUCGCUAUUUAAGGGCUGAACAGUCCACUCCCCCUCCGCACUACGCGGUUUGGGACGGCCCUUAAUAUGGAGGACCCUCCGCGGGAACGCGCAAACAGAGGGGUAGUGUGUAGGGAUAGUGUGUAGGGGGCGGUUUGGGAUUCAGCCCUAGUGUUUGUAUAUAUCUAUGUCUACAAUAAAGCAAUCAUGUGUUUGCACACCUGAUGUGGGUGUUUAACCAAAUGGCUCAUGGGUGUGGUGAUUUGUCCAUCAGUGCUGUGGAAUUGCAAGGAAGUGACAUCAUGAUAUACGUCUGUGUCUAAUGUAUGCAAGUGUGUUUAGUGUUUUGCAAAUGACUGUGUGUAUUGUUCUGCAAAAAGUGUGAGGCUGACUUUGUGUUUCUAGUGGUGAAAAUCUGGUCCCGUCUUUUCCUCCUUGAGUGUAAGGUGUUGAUAAUUAUGUGAUUCUUUUGUUUUUAGUGUUUAUGCAAUCAUAAAAAACUGUAAAAAGGAAAAUAAAUUUCAUUAAUAUCAUCAAUGGGUUUCGGCGGGUUAAAUCUUGCAGUACGCAAAGGUCACAUUUAAUAUAACUCAAUAAUCAAAUAAAACUGUGAGAAAUAUAUUGUAAAUAUAAUCUAUUAUAAUAAUUAAACAUCAGACCCAAAUGAAUGCAUCUUUUCCUGCUUAUUUGGUAACUGUGUAUUUGCCUUGUUUUUUUCCUAUAGAAGGAGUUAUUGGUGGGUAGGUGUAGGCAAAGGCUAAGGCAAACUUAUUUAUAUAGCACAUUUCAACAACGAGGCGAUUCAAAGUGCUUCAUGUUUGUUUUCAGGUCCUUUGAAGAAACUGCUGAGAAGUCUAGUUAUGCAGGUUGCCUUUUACAGUUCUAAUUAAGGUUAAUUAAGAUGAAUUAGAUCAAUUAACCAUGGUAAUAUCCUUUCCUUUUCUAGGAUUAACUUUGAAUUAACUUGAAUGACUGCCUUUGUUUUAUAUGAUACUGGUACGUGUAAGAAAUGACUUCUACCUGUAUUUUAUGUUUUCAUCACAUUAUAACUCUGUACUGUUCUCAGAGAAUUACCACACAGCACAACAGGAUGGAACUGAUAAAAAUGUAAUUAAAAUCAAAACUGCAAAAGCAUUUGAAAAUUCAGCUUCGUAAUGGAAAUAGUCUUUGAAAUAGUGUUUUGACAUAUGAUGAAUUGGUCCGUGUAUAUUUUGGUAAUUGGAUUUUCCGUUCUAAAGCAGGUAUUGAAAAACAAAAAACGAGUGGUUAUUUGAUUUUCGUUUUCAAAGGCAAAAAUUAAAAUUGAAAUACAAGGCUUUUUUCCUUUUCACGAUCAAAAAUGGAUAUACGAAUUUUAAAAAAUGCUUUGAUUUUCAUUUUUUAUUUACAAAAACAAAAAAUAAAAUAAGUCAGAGACAGAAACGAAAUAAGAACCGUUUUUCAUUUUCUGAGACCGGAAGUGGUCAUCAGCAAGGGUGGUCAGAUUGAAUCAGAGCCGAGGACUCUCUGUCCCGCCCACAUUUACCGGCUUCUGCUGUUUAUGGACGCUGCUACCGCUGCUGCUAACAACGUUAGCUUCCAAAAGUGGAGAUAAACUCUACAGCCUUGGUCUGGAUCAUUGGGAACAUCUGAUCUGAUGGACUGAGAGCUACAGAGAACAUGAACAUCCAGCUGUGGUUGUCUGAACAGUCUUCUCUCCAUCGCUGUGAGGAAGAGCAGCACUGAUGUCCUCCUCAUGCUUCCAUUAAGAACAAUAAUGCUGCAGAUUAAGCUCCUCUCUUCAUAAUACUUGUCUUGUGACUGUUCAGUUUUUACACUUCACUGUCAGCAACACAUUAUUUAUUUCAUCCAUUUAUUACGUGUUUACACAUCUUUACAGUUCACAAUUGUUAAAUAAUGCAGUUUUUAAAUGUGCAAUGAAGGAAAUAAUGAAGCUCUUGAGCUGAA